CACAGUUAUAAAUCAGCCCUGUGGACUGUCUUAUCAUGCAAUCCUGCCAGCUCAACUCUGACUAUAGCCAAGGAUGAAGAAGGCAAGAGGACCCUACUGCACAGAAUGGAGAAAUCUUAUGAAGAGAAGACAACUUUUGUCCCAGUUUAGCAGGUGGAAACUUACAUGAGAAAAACAGCGUGUGUGCUUUUGAAGGGACUGGAGCACCCAUCAGCCAGAUUUAUUAUGUAAGAACAGCACUCAUAAAACUAUUUGUACCUACAAGCAGUAUACACUCUAACCAUUCUGCUUGUACUCAGACAGAACUAGAAAAGCCUCAGCAGGUACUUCCAGUAACUCUUUGAAGACAUGCUCCAGCAUUUUCUUCCACUUUCUUCUGAUGACAAUAUACAAUGUUUCCUGUUAACCUUGAUGUCUCUUACAAAUUGUAUUUCAUGUCUGCCUUUGUAUUUCUUAUUAGUUUAUAGUCUUUAUAUUUUAUGUAAAAUAUAUAUUUUCUGUGUAGUCCAUAUUUUCUGUGCAUUUUCUUAUUCUUACACUUGAGAAUUGUGGAUGAAAUGAUUUAUCAGGUAAGCACGUAGAGAAAAAUCUAUGAGAAAUGUUUGAUUCAUAGAAAAUAAAUAAAAAUCAUUCUUUUUUU
rnacentral:lncRNA from 7 species